UCGUGUUAUCCCCGUUGCCCCCAGUAAACAGCCGCUCUUCGCGUGCUACUAAUCAAAGGGUGUCUCCUCCCACGGCGACGUUGCAGUGCCACUCGUUAGGGUAGAAAUUAGGGCUCGUUCGCGGCGCCUCGACUUGGGAGAGGAAGACUGAGGUGGAAUCCCCUCGAUCUCUUCCAUUGCAGCCGCCAGGAGCUCUCUUUCGGUAACAAUCGGACUCCGGAUGGCUGCCAUCUGUAUUUUGAUGAGAACCUCAGCACGGUUUCUUCAACAAGUCCGGUGUUUGUAUCGGUUUCACCGAGGAGAGAUUUCAGCGAAUAGACUGGGGAAAACCAAUAAAGUUUUCAUUUUGAAUCAUCCGGUUGUGGGAGCCCUUGUCGGCAGAGAAGCCGAUAGAUACCUGAACCAAAGUUUGCUUUUCUUCAGGGCUGUGUGUACUAGCGGAGGAUCUUGUGAUGUUGGCGGAGCAGGCCCUUUGCUGGAGUAUGAAAAGAGAAUUACAUCCGGCGAACUUGUUGGCGGAGACAGCUUCCAGACACACUUCAAGCACUGCAAAGGCUCUAUGAAGAGCUUGUGGAGCAUGAAGAGAGUUGCCAGUUGGAUAGAUAUAAGUCAUCACAAAAGUCUGGGAGGAUCAUUAUGCAGGAGGAGGUGGCUAUGGUCCCGUUUUAUGCCUCAGUCUACUUAUUCACCAGUUAAAGGGCUGUAUCUUUAUGGAGGAGUAGGCACUGGAAAAACAAUGCUUAUGGAUUUGUUUUUCAAUCAAUUGCCAUCUAAUUGGAGGAAGAAAAGAAUACACUUUCAUGAUUUUAUGUUGAAUGUACAUAGCCGGCUACAGAUGCACAAAGGGGUAGCAGAUCCACUUGAAGUUGUUGCAGCAGAGAUUUCAGAUGAGUCCAUUCUACUAUGCCUUGAUGAAUUUAUGGUAACUGAUGUUGCUGAUGCUUUGAUAUUAAAUCGGCUUUUUUGCCAUUUGUUCAGCAAUGGUGUGGUUCUUGUCUCCACUUCCAAUCGUGCUCCAGACCAGCUCUAUGAAGGUGGUUUGCAAAGGGACCUAUUUUUACCUUUUAUUGAAACCUUGAAGGAAAGGUGUGUAAUUCAUGAAAUUAGCUCUUCAACGGACUACCGAAAGAUGGGUUCUGCAGAGAAUGGCUACUAUUUUAUCGGGAAGAAGUACUCUGGACUUCUAAGAGAGAAGUUUCAUCAGUUAAUAGGAGCAGAGAAACCUGGCCCGCAAGUUGUUGAAGUUGUAAUGGGGCGAAAGUUGCAGGUCCCACUCGGAGCUAAUGGAUGUGCAUAUUUUCCUUUUGAGGAUCUUUGUGACAGACCUUUGGGGGCAGCAGACUACUUUGGAUUGUUCAGUGAGCUAGCUCCACUCCUCUUCUGCAUCAAUUACAUGCAAUUUGUAGUAUACUUGGGCAUAACACUCAUUAUUGUGCUGGAAAACAUACUGUUUCCUAUAGCCUGCUUUGAUUUUUUUCAAAAUUAUUGUGCAGAGAAGUUCCAUACACUUGCGCUUGAAGGAGUUCCCAAGUUUGGGAUCCACAACAGAACUGCAGCGUAUAGGUUUGUCACAUUGGUUGAUGUGAUGUAUGAGAAUAAAGCCAGAUUGUUGUGCACGGCAGAAGCAUCUCCUGUUGAGUUAUUUGAAAGAAUUGUGACAGUCAUGGAUGCCCAGAAAAUUUAUCCACGGUCUUCUUCACGGUCUAAGAAAACUGAUGAUAUUGAUCUUUGCGUUGACAAUGAGCUAGGAUUCGCCAAAGACCGCACCAUCAGCAGAUCUUUUGCCAUCAGCCCCGCACAACUCAUCUUCUCAAUCUUCUUCGGCGACGGCGAGACCGAGCUACGACGGAGGCGGCAGGAAGAACCGAAGUGACCGGCGACCGUCGCAAGACUCUGGCAACAUCCGAAUCCGGUCACCUCAGUGUGUAAUGCGGUAAGCACACGAGACGGUGUUCAUAUUUUAGUUCACUGGUUGGAGGAGAUGGGCCGAUGUGGCCUGCCCCACGAGAUGGUUAGCGAACCAAACAGUCCAAUAAGAAGAAGCCCACCCACGAGAUUGGACCGGGGUUCAUUUUCACGUGUAGUUGCGGAGGCACUUUCAUGAAUCCGGUCACCGCAGAUAACUAGAAGGUCAGCUGAUGAAACGGCCCAAGAAGAAGAAGCUCACGUACGAGAUUGGACCGGGCUCUAAUUUGCACGUGUAGUUGGGAGCCACUUUCAUGAAUCCGGUCACUACAGACGGUCAGCUAACAAACCGGCCCAAGAAGAAGAAGCCCACCCAAGAGAUUGGACCAGGCUUAAUUUGCACGUUUCACCACUUUCAUGAAUCUGGUCACCUCAGGUACGUAUAAGAAUUCAGAAUUCAGAGGUUUUGAGGCCAAAUUUUUUUUUUUUUUUGGGCUUCUUUGUCGCAAGAUGUGCGUGCGGUAAGCUUACGUGACGGUGUUUGCACUCAGAUACAAUAAUAGUUCAGAACCACCAACGCCUUUUUGUCUCUUUGAUUUCCUAACUA